rnacentral:sRNA from 2 species
ACCUCAUUUCCCAUCCGUCAAGUUAUAAAUCUUCUGGAUUCCCGCCAAUACCUCCUCAAAAUCAAUUUUCAGAUCCGUCAACAGGCCAUCUUUAAAAUCAAACACCCAGCCAUGCACAACGGGAUACGCAUUUUCCGAAAAGCUCUUCUGCACGGCUGCCGUUUUAAUGAUGUUCCGACACUGCUCAAUUACAUUCAGCUCUACAAGUCUAUCACAGCGCUUGCUGUCUUCAAUUGCAUCUAGCUCUGCCUCGUGGAGCCUGUAGACGUCGCGGAUAUUUCGCAGCCAGGGGUUUAGCAGACCCAAAUCUGCCGGCGUCAAAGCGGCUUUGACACCGCCGCAUCCGUAAUGGCCGCAGACAAUGAUAUGUUUGACGUGCAGAUGCCGCACCGCAUAGUUGAUCACGCUCAUCACGUUCAGAUCCGUAUUGCAGACCAAAUUGGCAAUGUUGCGGUGGAUGAAAGCUUCACCGGGGCCCAAGCCUGUGAUUUGCUCGGCAGGGAUGCGGCUGUCGCUGCAGCCAAUCCAUAGGUAGUCUGGAUUCUGGCCAGUCUGGAGCUUCUCGAAGAAAUGCGGGUCCUUCGCGGCCUUUUCCGCUGCCCAUUUCUUGUUGUUCUCGAAGAUGCGUUCGUGAGAUUGCUUGAGAUACUUGGAGACCUCGGUAGGCGCCAUGAAGUUUAUUGUCCGGUGGGUUGCACAGGGGUGAGUGAGAAACGAAUUAGGUUUACCAAAAUGAAGGUUCCGGCGCCAGCGAAGGUUGGGGUUGAGAAUGGUUCGUGUACUUGUGGGGGCGACUGCACAAUGGACCCGAAGACCUGAUAACUUGGAUAAAUGGCGCCGCUGAAACAUUUAUUUGAGGAGGAUGAAGGGCUAAGUGAAUUAGACCUCGAAAAAUUGGCAUUCGCAGAAGUGAGGGGAAAAGGCAAAAGAGAAAACGGAGCGUUUUUGAUUUUUGAUGUUGGUUGGGCCGUCGAAAACGGCAAAGCGCGGCACAUGAUCUUGUGCUGGUGAUGAUGUCAUCAUAACCAGACUCCCUAUUUGACUACUGACUGCGUAGUUAGGUAAAACGGAGGAGG